UACGAAGGUGGCAAGCGUUGUUCGGAUUUACUGGGCGUAAAGGGAGCGUAGGUGGUUAGGUAAGCCCUCCGGGAAAUCUUCAGGCUUAACCUGAAAAGGUCGGGGGGGGACUGCCUAGCUAGAGGGCGGGAGAGGAGCGCGGAAUUCCCGGUGUAGCGGUGAAAUGCGCAGAUAUCAGGAGGAACACCAGCGGCGAAGGCGGCGCUCGUGGGCCGGAACUGACGCUGAGGAGCGAAAGCGUGGGUAGCAAACAGG
rnacentral:rRNA from 1 species